AAAUUGAAGAGUUUGAUCAUGGCUCAGAUUGAACGCUGGCGGCAGGCCUAACACAUGCAAGUCGAACGGUAACAGGAAGCAGCUUGCUGCUUUGCUGACGAGUGGCGGACGGGUGAGUAAUGUCUGGGAAACUGCCUGAUGGAGGGGGAUAACUACUGGAAACGGUGGCUAAUACCGCAUAACGUCGCAAGACCAAAGAGGGGGACCUUCGGGCCUCUUGCCAUCAGAUGUGCCCAGAUGGGAUUAGCUUGUUGGUGAGGUAACGGCUCACCAAGGCGACGAUCCCUAGCUGGUCUGAGAGGAUGACCAGCCACACUGGAACUGAGACACGGUCCAGACUCCUACGGGAGGCAGCAGUGGGGAAUAUUGCACAAUGGGCGCAAGCCUGAUGCAGCCAUGCCGCGUGUAUGAAGAAGGCCUUCGGGUUGUAAAGUACUUUCAGCGGGGAGGAAGGUGUUGUGGUUAAUAACCACAGCAAUUGACGUUACCCGCAGAAGAAGCACCGGCUAACUCCGUGCCAGCAGCCGCGGUAAUACGGAGGGUGCAAGCGUUAAUCGGAAUUACUGGGCGUAAAGCGCACGCAGGCGGUCUGUCAAGUCGG
rnacentral:rRNA from 1 species